rnacentral:piRNA from 1 species
UGACAGGUGACUGCCAAGGCCAAUAUACUU